CAUUAAUACAAUAGUAUUAUAUAAACCAAGCCUGAUGUUGGCCGCUCAUUCAAAGAAUGCAGCAGUGUGACAGCCAGCAAUCAAAAGUAACAAGAUGUCGAGGAAAUGCAGAGUGUAAUAAACUGUGUAGGAGAUUAUGAUUGCAAUAGAAUAAAAUCGACCAAGCCUGAAGUCCUUCAAUGCACGCAGCAGUGUGACAGCCAGCAAUCAAAAGUUACAAAAUAUCGAAGAAAUACAGAAGGCAAAGA